AUUGAACGCUGGCGGCAGGCCUAACACAUGCAAGUCGAGCGGAUGAAGGGAGCUUGCUCCUGGAUUCAGCGGCGGACGGGUGAGUAAUGCCUAGGAAUCUGCCUGGUAGUGGGGGAUAACGUCCGGAAACGGGCGCUAAUACCGCAUACGUCCUGAGGGAGAAAGUGGGGGAUCUUCGGACCUCACGCUAUCAGAUGAGCCUAGGUCGGAUUAGCUAGUUGGUGGGGUAAAGGCCUACCAAGGCGACGAUCCGUAACUGGUCUGAGAGGAUGAUCAGUCACACUGGAGCUGAGACACGGUCCAGACUCCUACGGGAGGCAGCAGUGGGGAAUAUUGGACAAUGGGCGAAAGCCUGAUCCAGCCAUGCCGCGUGUGUGAAGAAGGUCUUCGGAUUGUAAAGCACUUUAAGUUGGGAGGAAGGGCAGUAAGUUAAGACCUUGCUGUUUUGACGUUACCAACAGAAUAAGCACCGGCUAACUUCGU
rnacentral:rRNA from 1 species